rnacentral:rRNA from 1 species
CCUACGGGAGGCAGCAGUGGGGAAUAUUGCACAAUGGGGGAAACCCUGAUGCAGCGACGCCGCGUGAGUGAAGAAGUAUCUCGGUAUGUAAAGCUCUAUCAGCAGGGAAGAAAAUGACGGUACCUGACUAAGAAGCUCCGGCUAACUACGUGCCAGCAGCCGCGGUAAUACGUAGGGAGCAAGCGUUAUCCGGAUUUACUGGGUGUAAAGGGAGCGUAGACGGCGCUGCAAGUCCGUAGUGAAAGUCCAGGGCUUAACCAUGGUACUGCCGUGGAAACUGUGGGGCUUGAGUGCAGGAGGGGUAGGCGGAAUUCCUAGUGUAGCGGUGAAAUGCGUAGAUAUUAGGAGGAACACCGGCGGCGAAGGCGGCUUACUGGACUGUAACUGACGUUGAGGCUCGAAAGCGUGGGGAGCAAACAGGAUUAGAUACCCGAGUAGUC